UGACGGGUCUCUCAACAUUCCCUCUUAAACCACCAAAACCCUACGUGGAGUAAUCUCUGAUCUAACUCGAUCUCCGCCUCCCCUUUGCCACUUCACUUUCUCUCUCUUCUCAUUUGCUCCCUCCUCCAUUUUUCCUUUUCAUUGUUCUCAAUUUUCUUCAUCUCCGAUAUACUACUUCUCACAAUCUUUAAAAUGGAAAGUACAUAGUACUUAUCAUCAUAUUUACUCUUCUCACAGUCUAAAAAAUCAAAAGAGUGGUUUUGAUUCCUGAAGUUUCUUCUUAGUUCUCCAUUGAAGCAGUUGUAAGCUUAUUCUCUUCUCCUCUGAAGCGAAUUUUGGGUUUCAAUCAUCUCCAUUUUAGCAUUCAAAGGUUAUCUUUGAGCUAAAAUUAAUGGAGUUGGUGAUAUGAAGUUGGCGAUAUAUAUGAACUUGGCGAUGAUGAAAAUAGAUUAGGAUUACAUCAUAUUGUACUCAUUGUAACGUAGUACUUAAUUAAUACUAGUACUACAAAUUAUAUAAUACUCGUACUUAAAUGUUACUUGUAUAUAUAUUGUAUUUUAUUUAUUUAAUGAAAUUGAAACUGUAUGCUACAUA